CAGUCGCCGCGGGAAUACGUAGGUGGCAAGCGUUGUCCGGAAUUAUUGGGCGUAAAGGGCUCGCAGGCGGUUUCUUAAGUCUGAUGUGAAAGCCCCCGGCUCAACCGGGGAGGGUCAUUGGAAACUGGGAAACUUGAGUGCAGGAGAGGAGAGUGGAAUUCCACGUGUAGCGGUGAAAUGCGUAGAGAUGUGGAGGAACACCAGUGGCGAAGGCGACUCUCUGGUCUGUAACUGACGCUGAGGAGCGAAAGCGUGGGGAGCGAACAGGAUUAGAUACCCCCGUAGUCCCUGUCUCUUAUAC
rnacentral:rRNA from 1 species